rnacentral:rRNA from 1 species
CAGUAGACGUAGAGUUUGAUCAUGGCUCAGAACGAACGUUAGCGGCGCGCCUAACACAUGCAAGUCGCACGAGAAAGGGCUUCGGCCCCGGUACAGUGGCGCACGGGUGAGUAACACGUAGAUCAUCUCCCCUCGAGUGGUGGAUAACUUUCCGAAAGGAAAGCUAAUACAGCAUAGGACCACGGCUUCGUUGAAGCUGCGGCCAAAGCAGGCCUCUACACGUAAGCUUGCGCUUGAGGAUAAGUCUGCGGCCCAUCAGCUAGUUGGUAGGGUAAUGGCCUACCAAGGCUAAGACGGGUAGCUGGUCUGAGAGGAUGAACAGCCACACUGGAACUGAGACACGGUCCAGACUCCUACGGGAGGCAGCAGUGGGGAAUCUUGCGCAAUGGGCGAAAGCCUGACGCAGCGACGCCGCGUGAGCGAUGAAGGCCUUCGGGUUGUAAAGCUCUGUGGGGAGGAAAGAAUAAGGGUUGGCUAACAUCCAACCUGAUGACGGUACCUCCUUAGCAAGCACCGGCUAACUCUGUGGCCAGGCAGCCGCGGUAAU